UCUCUGCAACUGGUCCACCCUCACCACAAGGGUUUGGACGCAUGAAGAGCCAGAGAAGCAUCCCAGUUAUCCGACUAGCUCCAGUUUUGGUCCCUCCUGCCCCUGAGGGCAUCUCGGCUCCCACUCAUCCACCUCCUCCUGCGUACUGCCUUGCCCCUCGCUGAAAGCCCCAUGGGACCUGCGAUGCACUUUGACUUCUCCAGCAGGAAAGACAGAGCUAAGCAGCUACCAAAGCAUUAUUUAUUUACCCAUGGGCACUGAUGACCUGCAAAUGAGGAAUGAGCCUGGGUGCAUGCUGCCUGCCCUUCCCUCCACCCCCAGGAAGGUGGUGGGAUGCAAGCCCGGGGCAAUCAGCAGGACCUGCUGGCAACAGAAAACCACACUCAUGGAAGUAUUAUCCAAGUGCACAUGUGGAAUAAGCUAUGGAGAAGCUUUUCCUGCUCCUUUGCCUCCAUUUAUUUGUCUGGUGUGGACUGCAGCUCUCAUCUGCUUCAGAUCAAGCCUUCAGUGAUGAGGUCCUGAGGUUAGCUGGGGCUUCUGCCUACUGCUACCAUGCAAAUUAUAGAUCGAAUGAAAAAAAACAGUCAAAAGAUAUUUUCACACACAGCAGAGCUAUUU
rnacentral:lncRNA from 1 species